GCGGACGUGGUGCACGGUGCACCACUGCCUUCAAUGUUUAUUCAGCUUCAACAGUGCAAGCAGUUGAACGGGGUUCGAAUCCCCGCGUCCGCA